UAUAAACAAAUUCAACUCUAAUUAUAUACUAAUUUAACAAAUCAAACACACUAAUCAAUUUAACAAUACAUAUCAAACUAGAGUUGAAUGAAGGCACGUAAAGUAAACCGACCAAGCCAAACUAUGCAUGCUAAGCGCAGUCUCAAAAAAACAAUUUUUUUAAAAGAAAUUAUGUUUUUAAAAAUUAAAAAUCUUAAUAUUCAAUUUUACUCUAAAGUUUAUGAGGAAAGUUUAAUCUAAUUAAUUUUUAAUUUUUAUCUAAAUUAUCUUAUAAAUUUUAAUUU
rnacentral:lncRNA from 1 species